rnacentral:rRNA from 1 species
UACGAAGGGGGCUAGCGUUGCUCGGAAUCACUGGGCGUAAAGCGCACGUAGGCGGCUUGUUAAGUCAGGGGUGAAAUCCUGGAGCUCAACUCCAGAACUGCCUUUGAUACUGGCGAUCUUGAGUUCGGGAGAGGUGAGUGGAACUGCGAGUGUAGAGGUGAAAUUCGUAGAUAUUCGCAAGAACACCAGUGGCGAAGGCGGCUCACUGGCCCGGUACUGACGCUGAGGUGCGAAAGCGUGGGGAGCAAACAGG